rnacentral:lncRNA from 1 species
AAUACAAGAAGGGAACCCCAAAAGAAGACGCAAAAGCAAAGAAAACUUUAAGGGGUGAUCAAAGAAUGACUUUUUAUGUAAAAGAAAGAUUAAAAGAUAGAAGAAGAAGGUGUGUUGUUUGUGUUUGUGGGGUCUGUGAAGAAGAAAAAUCAAACAUAAUUCCAAAAAAAGAACAGUUCUUGAUAGAAAAAAGAUGUAAUUUGGGGGAAUAACCAAAUUGAAAAUGAAGAUAACCCAGAAAAAGAUGUGAGAAUAAAAUGGUUGAUUAUAAUAGAGAUUGGCGUUUGGGGUUAUAGUAUGUGGGGUUGUGCAUUAUGUCUCUUUUACCUUUCAAGAAAUGACAUGCAAAACACUGAAAUGCGAGCAUGCGACACCAGAUUGAGACAUACAAAUGUCACCAAAUCCGACUAUAAUAAUACCACUUCCCUUUUUUCAUUUUUUUUUUUUUUUAUAUUUCUAAAGAUUUUAAGAAGGUGUGUUGUUUGUGUUUGUGGGGUCUGUGAAGAAGAAAAAUCAAACAUAAUUCCAAAAAAAGAACAGUUCUUGAUAGAAAAAAGAUGUAAUUUGGGGGAAUAACCAAAUUGAAAAUGAAGAUAACCCAGAAAAAGAUGUGAGAAUAAAAUGGUUGAUUAUAAUAGAG